rnacentral:rRNA from 1 species
UACGUAGGUGGCAAGCGUUGUCCGGAUUUACUGGGCGUAAAGAGCGCGCAGGCGGCUGAUUAAGUCGAAUGUGAAAGCCCCCGGCUCAACUGGGGAGGGUCAUUCGAUACUGAUCAACUUGAAGGCAGGAGAGAGAAGUGGAAUUCCCGGUGUAGUGGUGAAAUGCGUAGAUAUCGGGAGGAACACCAGUGGCGAAGGCGGCUCGCUGGGCCAUUCCUGACGCUGAGACGCGAAAGCUAGGGGAGCGAACAGG